rnacentral:lncRNA from 1 species
GUAGGUUAUAUAUAUAUAUAUAUAUAUAUAUGUCGCCGUGAUUUUGCCAAGUAAGACAUGUUCCUGGAUCAACAUCUUUUGAUGAUCCUGGAUUAACAUUAUUGUCCAAAAAUAUAGACUUAACCCAAUCCCUACCCCUAAACCUAACCUUACCCAUAAUUUAUUCCUAAAAUCAGUGGGAAAUGAUAGCUGAUUAACAAGGGUGUAGAAGCACCUAACCCUGAUUUUAAGCCUAAAACAGAUAUUUCCUGAAAAGUUAUAUCUCAACUCUGAUUGGUUGAUUGGAAUGUUGUUCCAGGAUCAACAAGGAUGUUGUACUUGGUGAAAUCACGCUCACCAUAUAUAUAUAUAUAUUCUUACAAAAGAAGGUCUGUUAUAGGCUACUAAUAUAAUUUUGUGUGUGAUUUUGUUUGUUUGGUUUUAUGUGUGACUGGAAAUCUCAAGCACUCUCCCCAUAUUAUCAGACUUGAAUUGUGGAUCAGAAACCUACAAUCCCCAUGAACAAAUGUGUUGCUCAGGGAAUCUGUAUAAGAAGGCAUCAGCACUUACUAAGUGCUGUGGCGAAGAUGCUUACAUUCUGUCAGAUGACAAUGUGCUGUGCUGUAAUGGAAUCCUUCAUCGCAAUGUGCCUGAGCAGUCAGAGUGUGUUGGAGGUGUUAUGUAUACUCCAGCAAACACUACUUGCCAAAUGUCGACCCGUCCUCGUCUUGGCGAGCACUGCUGUGGAGGACAAACCUUCAAUCCUCGCACGCAUAUUUGCUGUAAUGGACACAGCCACAACAAGAUGAAUGGCAAUUUCUGUUGUGGUUCAGAAGUCUAUGACCACCACAACCAGUUCUUGAGAUGCUGCUCAGGUCAUCUCUACAACCUAACCCAUUUACGUGGAAAUGCAGAGUGCUGUGGAAGCCUAUUGCUGAAAUAUAGUAAUCACAUUUGCUGUUCCUCCUCAACCAAUUCCGUAAUGUAUGACACCAAAAGAAACCACCGUUGCUGUGGGCAUUACUACUACAACACAUCCCUGUGGAGCUGCUGUGCUGAACGUCUCAAACCAACACCAAAGCCUAACAGCUCUCCUGAAGAAUACAGACCUAAACCCCUAACAGGCCUCUACCCAUUUGAGGCUCCACACGAA